GGUUUCUUGUAAUUAUUUAGGAGAUCUGACCUGCCCACUGAAAAUAUUUUGAAGGGCCGCAGUAUUUUGACUGUGCAAAGGUAGCAUAAUCAUUAGUCUUUUAAUUGAAGGCUGGUAUGAAUGGUUGGAUGAGGUAAAUUCUGUUUUAUGUUAAUUGAUGUUGAAUUUAGAUUUUAAGUAAAAAUACUUAAAUGUUAUUAAGGGACGAGAAGACCCUAUAGAGUUUAAUAAAUGUAAUAAUUAAUUGAGUUAAAGUUUAAUUUUUGGUUUUUAUGUAAUUUAUUUAAUUGGGGUGAUUGGAAGAUAAAAUAAACUCUUCUUUAUAUUUAAUAAAUUAAUUAGUUAUAUGAUCCAUAUUUAAUGAUUAAAAGAUUAAAUUACCUUAGGGAUAACAGCAUAAUUCUUUUUAAGAGUUCAUAUCGAAAAAAGAGAUUGUGACCUCGAUGUUGGAUUAAGAUUAGUUAUGGGUGCAGAUGUUCAAUAACUAGGUCUGUUCGACCUUGAAAAUCUU
rnacentral:rRNA from 1 species